GGAGCCGUAGACGAAUCGGAUAAAGUCGCCGGGUUUUCACCCCGGACAUGUGCGGGUUCGAGUCCCGUCGGCUCUA
rnacentral:tRNA from 1 species